GACGAACGCUGGCGGCGUGCUUAACACAUGCAAGUCGAACGGAAAGGCCCUGCUUUUGUGGGGUGCUCGAGUGGCGAACGGGUGAGUAACACGUGAGUAACCUGCCCUUUACUUUGGGAUAACUUCAUGAAACUGGGGCUAAUACCGGAUAGGAUCUCCUGCUGCAUGGUGGGGGUUGGAAAUUUUCGGCGGUUGGGGAUGGACUCGCGGCUUAUCAGCUUGUUGGUGGGGUAGUGGCUUACCAAGGCUUUGACGGGUAGCCGGCAUGAGAGGGUGACCGGCCACAUUGGGACUGAGAUACGGCCCAGACUCCUACGGGAGGCAGAAGUGGGGAAUAUUGCACAAUGGGCGGAAGCCUGAGGCAGCAACGCCGCGUGCGGGAUGACGGCCUUCGGGUUGUAAACCGCUUUCGCCUGUGACGAAGCGUGAGUGACGGUAAUGGGUAAAGAAGCACCGGCUAACUACGUG
rnacentral:rRNA from 1 species